ACCUCCUUAGAGUUUGNAUCCUGGCUCAGAGCGAACGCUGGCGGCAGGCCUAACACAUGCAAGUCGAACGAACUCUUCGGAGUUAGUGGCGGACGGGUGAGUAACACGUGGGAACGUGCCUUUAGGUUCGGAAUAACUCAGGGAAACUUGUGCUAAUACCGAAUGUGCCCUUCGGGGGAAAGAUUUAUCGCCUUUAGAGCGGCCCGCGUCUGAUUAGCUAGUUGGUGAGGUAAAGGCUCACCAAGGCGACGAUCAGUAGCUGGUCUGAGAGGAUGAUCAGCCACAUUGGGACUGAGACACGGCCCAAACUCCUACGGGAGGCAGCAGUGGGGAAUCUUGCGCAAUGGGCGAAAGCCUGACGCAGCCAUGCCGCGUGAAUGAUGAAGGUCUUAGGAUUGUAAAAUUCUUUCAGUAGGGACGAUAAUGACGG
rnacentral:rRNA from 1 species